rnacentral:tRNA from 1 species
ACCGAAAUAGCUCAGUUGGGAGAGCGUCAGACUAUAGAUCGAAAAGUCCCUGGGUCGAUCCCGGGUUCUGACA